CCGGCGAUGUCCGAAUGGGGAAACCCAGUGCAAUUCGUUGCACUAUCGUUAACUGAAUACAUAGGUUAACGAGGCGAACCGGGGGAACUGAAACAUCUAAGUACCCCGAGGAAAAGAAAUCAACCGAGAUUCCCCCAGUAGCGGCGAGCGAACGGGGAGCAGCCCAGAGUCUGAAUCAGCUUGUGUGUUAGUGGAACGGUCUGGAAAGUCCGACGGUACAGGGUGAUAGUCCCGUACACCAAAAUGCACAGGCUGUGAACUCGAAGAGUAGGGCGGGACACGUGGUAUCCUGUCUGAAUAUGGGGGGACCAUCCUCCAAGGCUAAAUACUCCUGACUGACCGAUAGUGAACCAGUACCGUGAGGGAAAGGCGAAAAGAACCCCGGCGAGGGGAGUGAAAAAGAACCUGAAACCGUGUACGUACAAGCAGUGGGAGCACCUUCGGGUGUGACUGCGUACCUUUUGUAUAAUGGGUCAGCGACUUAUAUUCUGUAGCAAGGUUAACCGUAUAGGGGAGCCGCAGGGAAACCGAGUCUUAACUGGGCGUUAAGUUGCAGGGUAUAGACCCGAAACCCGGUGAUCUAGCCAUGGGCAGGUUGAAGGUUGGGUAACACUAACUGGAGGACCGAACCGACUAAUGUUGAAAAAUUAGCGGAUGACUUGUGGCUGGGGGUGAAAGGCCAAUCAAACCGGGAGAUAGCUGGUUCUCCCCGAAAGCUAUUUAGGUAGCGCCUCGUGAACUCAUCUUCGGGGGUAGAGCACUGUUUCGGCUAGGGGGUCAUCCCGACUUACCAACCCGAUGCAAACUACGAAUACCGAAGAAUGUUAUCACGGGAGACACACGGCGGGUGCUAACGUCCGUCGUGAAGAGGGAAACAACCCAGACCGCCAGCUAAGGUCCCAAAGUCAUGGUUAAGUGGGAAACGAUGUGGGAAGGCACAGACAGCCAGGAUGUUGGCUUAGAAGCAGCCAUCAUUUAAAGAAAGCGUAAUAGCUCACUGGUCGAGUCGGCCUGCGCGGAAGAUGUAACGGGGCUAAACCAUGCACCGAAGCUGCGGCAGCGACACUAUGUGUUGUUGGGUAGGGGAGCGUUCUGUAAGCCUGCGAAGGUGUGCUGUGAGGCAUGCUGGAGGUAUCAGAAGUGCGAAUGCUGACAUAAGUAACGAUAAAGCGGGUGAAAAGCCCGCUCGCCGGAAGACCAAGGGUUCCUGUCCAACGUUAAUCGGGGCAGGGUGAGUCGACCCCUAAGGCGAGGCCGAAAGGCGUAGUCGAUGGGAAACAGGUUAAUAUUCCUGUACUUGGUGUUACUGCGAAGGGGGGACGGAGAAGGCUAUGUUAGCCGGGCGACGGUUGUCCCGGUUUAAGCAUGUAGGCUGGUUAUCCAGGCAAAUCCGGAUAAUCAAGGCUGAGGUGUGAUGACGAGGCACUACGGUGCUGAAGUAACAAAUGCCCUGCUUCCAGGAAAAGCCUCUAAGCAUCAGGUAACAUUAAAUCGUACCCCAAACCGACACAGGUGGUCAGGUAGAGAAUACCAAGGCGCUUGAGAGAACUCGGGUGAAGGAACUAGGCAAAAUGGUGCCGUAACUUCGGGAGAAGGCACGCUGGUGUGUAGGUGAAGUCCCUGCGGAUGGAGCUGAGACCAGUCGAAGAUACCAGCUGGCUGCAACUGUUUAUUAAAAACACAGCACUGUGCAAACACGAAAGUGGACGUAUACGGUGUGACGCCUGCCCGGUGCCGGAAGGUUAAUUGAUGGGGUUAUCCGUAAGGAGAAGCUCUUGAUCGAAGCCCCGGUAAACGGCGGCCGUAACUAUAACGGUCCUAAGGUAGCGAAAUUCCUUGUCGGGUAAGUUCCGACCUGCACGAAUGGCGUAAUGAUGGCCAGGCUGUCUCCACCCGAGACUCAGUGAAAUUGAACUCGCUGUGAAGAUGCAGUGUACCCGCGGCAAGACGGAAAGACCCCGUGAACCUUUACUAUAGCUUGACACUGAACAUUGAGCCUUGAUGUGUAGGAUAGGUGGGAGGCUUUGAAGCGUGGACGCCAGUCUGCGUGGAGCCAACCUUGAAAUACCACCCUUUAAUGUUUGAUGUUCUAACGUUGGCCCCUUACCGGGGUUGCGGACAGUGUCUGGUGGGUAGUUUGACUGGGGCGGUCUCCUCCCAAAGCGUAACGGAGGAGCACGAAGGUUAGCUAAUCCUGGUCGGACAUCAGGAGGUUAGUGCAAUGGCAUAAGCUAGCUUGACUGCGAGCGUGACGGCGCGAGCAGGUGCGAAAGCAGGUCAUAGUGAUCCGGUGGUUCUGAAUGGAAGGGCCAUCGCUCAACGGAUAAAAGGUACUCCGGGGAUAACAGGCUGAUACCGCCCAAGAGUUCAUAUCGACGGCGGUGUUUGGCACCUCGAUGUCGGCUCAUCACAUCCUGGGGCUGAAGUAGGUCCCAAGGGUAUGGCUGUUCGCCAUUUAAAGUGGUACGCGAGCUGGGUUUAGAACGUCGUGAGACAGUUCGGUCCCUAUCUGCCGUGGGCGCUGGAGAAUUGAGGGGGGCUGCUCCUAGUACGAGAGGACCGGAGUGGACGCAUCACUGGUGUUCGGGUUGUCAUGCCAAUGGCACUGCCCGGUAGCUAAAUGCGGAAGAGAUAAGUGCUGAAAGCAUCUAAGCACGAAACUUGCCCCGAGAUGAGUUCUCCCUGAGACUUUAAGUCUCCUGAAGGAACGUU
rnacentral:rRNA from 1 species